CUGCCUACUUAGCCAAUAAAUCUAAUACUUAUCUGAAAGAUGGAUGCAGAACAUCCAACAUCCUUAAACCCAGUUUGGAACAUCCGGAGAAUCACCUUUGGGGAUCUUGAGUGACUAGAGCAGGGUUGUCAAACUGGGUGGCCCACAGGCCGGAUACGUCACACACAGGCCACGCCUACCCCAGUUCCAGGAAGGCAAAAAACAUUGUGAUACGUCACAUGACAUCAACGUGACAUGAUACGUAUGGUAGAUGAACAUGAAGUAAGGGUGCAUAUGAAGUCUUUGGCUCACAUCAGGAAAGGAACUUGGAGCUACCAAAAAGUCAGAGGUGGUGCCUAUGUUUUUUUUGUUGCCAUCUAAUAAGUGCCCUGAUUUAUGCAGCCAAGAUUCUCUACAGGUCUGUGGCUCAGAUGCUGGCAUGCAAUUUAAAUGGAUCAAGAUGACCUCUUCUUCCAAACAUGAGACCACAAGAAGGAGGGUAGUCUACCUGGUACUUUGCAGAUGAUUUGGAGUAUAAUGCACAAAAUCCCAACCAUUGACUAGCUCAAAUAGAACUGAUUCAUUUGGAAGUUUAAAACACAUUAUGUGGAUUUUUAUAUAUUAGUUUAUUUAUUGUUUACUUGAAGACAUCAUAACCUCAUAUGGGAGCGGGUAUAAAUGAAGGGGAUAGCAAUCCCUCACCAGAAAAAGUUGAUCAAAUUGGAGAACACCAAAUAUUCAUCUUUACCAAAUGAUAUCAUGUAAUGGCAUGGAAAGAUUUUGUAACCAGCAAUGAACAUUUCUGACAGAGAAUAAGAAAGAAAGAAUUACACACGAACCUAACAAACUAUGUUGCAUCCAUAUCUUAUUUUUCAUCUAUAGAAAUUUUUAAAGUGCUUCCGAAUUUCCAUGCCACCUCAGAAAAGGUAAAGCCAAAAAUCUUCCAUCUUUAGAUUUAUCUGAAUUUGACUCCUGCAUUAUUUUCCAUAAGACAAACUGCUGAUUUUGCAUCCAAUAUGGCAAGCAAAAUUGGACAGAAUAUUUUUUACCAAUUGCAAAGUCAAUUAAGUUCUUAUCAGAUCUACAAAAAAUUAAAUCAUACUGUAAUUUCUUGAGAGUUCAAUAUACUUGCACUAAUAAAGAAAGAACAAUUUAUGAGAGCAAAUGUUUUCUAGGGUUUAGACAUAUUUUGUCAUUAUUUUUUCUUAUGUGUGUGAUUCUAUUGUUUUUCUGUUUGUGUAGAUUUGUAAACCUCUGUGGCAUAGUAUUUGAACAAAAGUGUGAGAAUAAUUUUAGUUUUAAAAAAAGGUUUUAAUGCAUUAUUUGUGCCUGUGUCAAAUACUGUUUUAUUUCUGAUGAGAUUUUCUUGAAAAAAAUGUUUUGCUGCAAUAAUUGUUUAUCUGUAUAUGUUUAUGAUACUUGUUGCC